rnacentral:lncRNA from 1 species
CCUGUAAUCUCCUCCCCUUGGGUUUUUCCUUCCUGUACAGAGAGAUAACCUUCUCCUUUAGAAGGUUCGGAGCAACGCAGCCCCUUCUCAAAGUCAGGGGCCGCCCUCUCAGAGAACCAGGCAUGCUGAGAAGGAAGUGGUAAAGGGGACUGAGAGGAAGGUGCCGAGAGGACGGAGAAGAUGGGGAACUAUCUGUUGAGGGAAUGCAGACUGUGGCUACAGCCGAGGCCUAUCACUGGCCCGACACAAUCACCUGAGAGUUGGUCAGGGAAGCGGUGCCUCAAGUUGAGUUGAAACAGGAACAAUAAUCUCAGAGGCGGUGCGCUCUCUUCAAACAGGAAAGCCUCAGAAGCCAGAAAGAAACAGGCUACUAAUGUAGAGAAAGAACCCUGAAUCACACUGCAAAUCCCAAAGUCUCUACAUUUCUGUCACUUGCACAGAGGAUUUACAGCUGAGGUGAUCACAUCAUUUAUCAUCCAAAGUAGGACAUCUUUGAGA